AUUGAACGCUGGCGGCAGGCCUAACACAUGCAAGUCGAACGAGUGGCGGACGGGUGAGUAAUAUCUGGGAAACUGCCUGAUGGAGGGGGAUAACUACUGGAAACUGUAGCUAAUACCGCAUACCAUCGGAUGUGCCCAGAUGGGAUUAGCUAGUAGGUGGGGUAAAGGCUCACCUAGGCGACGAUCCCUAGCUGGUCUGAGAGGAUGACCAGCCACACUGGAACUGAGACACGGUCCAGACUCCUACGGGAGGCAGCAGUGGGGAAUAUUGCACAAUGGGCGCAAGCCUGAUGCAGCCAUGCCGCGUGUAUGAAGAAGGCCCUCGGGUUGUAAAGUACUUUCAGUCGGGAGGCGUUACCGGCAGAAGAAGCACCGGCUAACUCCGUGCCAGCAGCCGCGGUAAUUC
rnacentral:rRNA from 1 species